UUACCAAAGGAUCACAAUCUACCCAAGGUACAACAGGUGGGAGGUCUUAGAGGUGGCAUGAUAGUUGAUCAUGUAAGCAACAAGGGGAUCAGCGCUCAUGGACA